UACGUAGGGGCAAGCGUUGUCCGGAUUUAUUGGGCGUAAAGAGCGUGUAGGCGGCCAGACAGGUCCGUUGUGAAACUCGAGGCUCAACCUCGAGACGCCGAUGGAAACCGUCUGGCUAGAGUCCGGAAGAGGAGAGUGGAAUUCCUGGUGUAGCGGUGAAAUGCGCAGAUAUCAGGAAGAACACCCGUGGCUAAGGCGGCUCUCUAGUACGGUACUGACGCUGAGACGCGAAAGCGUGGGAGCGAACAGG
rnacentral:rRNA from 1 species